rnacentral:rRNA from 1 species
AUACGUAGGUGGCAAGCGUUAUCCGGAUUUACUGGGUGUAAAGGGCGCGUAGGCGGGGGUGCAAGUCAGAUGUGAAAUCUAUGGGCUUAACUCAUAAACUGCAUUUGAAACUGUAUCUCUUGAGUGCUGGAGAGGUAGACGGAAUUCCUUGUGUAGCGGUGAAAUGCGUAGAUAUAAGGAAGAACACCAGUGGCGAAGGCGGUCUACUGGACAGUAACUGACGCUGAGGCGCGAAAGCGUGGGGAGCAAACAGGAUUAGAUACCCUGGUAGUCCACACUGUAAACGAUGAAUGCUAGGUGUAAGAGGUAUCGACCCCUUGUGUGCCGGAGUCAACACAAUAAGCAUUCCGCCUGGGGAGUACGGCCGCAAGGUUGAAACUCAAAUGAAUUGGCGGGG